rnacentral:tRNA from 1 species
UGGUUUCAGCAUUUAAUACAAUGGAUGGAGGUGUUGGUAAAGUGCAUUUAAUUGAUGGUAAAUCAACCCAUUCGUUGCUUUUGGAAA